GCCGCCAUAGCUCAGUCGGUUAGAGCGUGGGCCAAGGCAGCCCAAGGUCGCAGGUUCGACCCCUGCUGGCGGCA
rnacentral:tRNA from 1 species